rnacentral:rRNA from 1 species
AUUGAACGCUGGCGGCAUGCCUUACACAUGCAAGUCGAACGGUAACGCGGGGCAACCUGGCGACGAGUGGCGAACGGGUGAGUAAUGCAUCGGAACGUGCCCAGUAGUGGGGGAUAGCCCGGCGAAAGCCGGAUUAAUACCGCAUACGACCUACGGGUGAAAGCGGGGGAUCGCAAGACCUCGCGCUAGUGGAGCGGCCGAUGUCAGAUUAGGUUGUUGGUGGGGUAAAAGCCCACCAAGCCGACGAUCUGUAGCUGGUCUGAGAGGACGACCAGCCACACUGGGACUGAGACACGGCCCAGACUCCUACGGGAGGCAGCAGUGGGGAAUUUUGGACAAUGGGCGCAAGCCUGAUCCAGCCAUGCCGCGUG